rnacentral:rRNA from 1 species
UACGUAGGGUGCGAGCGUUAAUCGGAAUCACUGGGCGUAAAGGGUGCGUAGGCGGGUCUUUAAGUCAGGGGUGAAAUCCUGGAGCUCAACUCCAGAACUGCCUUUGAUACUGAAGAUCUUGAGUUCGGGAGAGGUGAGUGGAACUGCGAGUGUAGAGGUGAAAUUCGUAGAUAUUCGCAAGAACACCAGUGGCGAAGGCGGCUCACUGGCCCGGUACUGACGCUGAGGUGCGAAAGCGUGGGGAGCAAACAGG